rnacentral:misc_RNA from 1 species
ACAAAAAUAACCACCAGGAGAAAAUUUUGUAAACUAGUAUCGACUACAUUAAUCUCCACUAUUUAACCAAAACCAAUGCCUACUGUACAUCACUAUAUUUCAAGCAUAGCAGCCAAGAAGUCUCGUGCCCCGCAGAGUCCUAUGAAUAAUCUGUACAACUAAUAUACAGUUCUGCACUUCCUUCUCAUACUACUACAGCGG